rnacentral:rRNA from 1 species
GAUGAACGCUAGCUACAGGCUUAACACAUGCAAGUCGAGGGGUAACGAGAGGAAAGCUUGCUUUCCUUGUCGACGACCGGCGCACGGGUGAGUAACGCGUAUCCAACCUGCCCCCAACUAGGGAAUAACCUUGCGAAAGUAAGACUAAUACCCUAUAAUUUCCUCAGAUGUCAUCUGACGAGGAAUAAAGAUUUAUCGGUUGUGGAUGGGUAUGCGUCUGAUUAGCUUGUUGGCGGGGUAACGGCCAACCAAGGCAACGGUCAGUAGGGGUUCUGAGAGGAAGGUCCCCCACAUUGGAACUGAGACACGGUCCAAACUCCUACGGGAGGCAGCAGUGAGGAAUAUUGGUCAAUGGGCGGAAGCCUGAACCAGCCAAGUAGCGUGAAGGAUGACGGCCCUAUGGGUUGUAAACUGCUUUUAUACAGGAAUAAAGUUAGCCACGUGUGGUUAUUUGUAGGUACUGUAUGAAUAAGGACCGGCUAAUUCCGUGCCAGCCGCCGCCGUAA